GCUGGCAAGCCCGGGGGUGCCGGGCACCCGCUGCCGGCCGGGAUCGAGCACCGGGCAGGGGUGGUGCCCCCCGUGCCCCCGGGGGGAGGGUGGGUCUGCCCUGGACACCGUCAUGCCCCGGGUACCACCAUCCCCUGGGUACCACCAUCCCCUGGGUACCGCCGUCCCCUGGGUAUCACUCUGCCCUGGGUGCUACCAUGCCCUGGGUACCACCAUCCUCUGGGUACCACCAUCCUCUGGGUAUCACCAUGCCCUGGGUAACACCAUGCCCUGGGUACCACCGUCCCCUGGCCACCACCAUGUCCUGGUCAUCCCCAUCCCCUGGGUACCAUCAUGCCUUGGGUACCACCAUCCCCUGGGUAGCGUUGUGCCCCAGGUACCACCAUCCCUUGGGUACUGCCACACCCUGGGUAGCACCAUCUCCAGGGUACCACCACUGCUUGGGUACCACCAUUCCCUGUGGCCCAGAUACCACCGUCCCACGGGAACCAUGGUGCUCUGGGUACCCCUGUCCCUUGGAUAUUCCCACCCCCUGGGUACAACUGUCACCUGUUUACACCCCUCCCCUGCGUACCCCCAUCACGUGGGUACUGCCGUCCCCUAGGUGCCACCAUCCACCGGGUACCCUCAUCCCCUGUGUGACCCCAUACCCCAGCUAUGACUGUCCCCUGGGUACCCCCAUCCCAGGGGUACACCCGUCCCACGGGUACCACUGUGGUGCUUUGGCAAGCYGGGAGGGGGUGGGCCACGGUGCUGGGAGGUGCCCGGGCUGCCAGGGUGGGGGCGGGCAGGCAGAGACCCCCCGGGAGCCAGGGGAGAUCCUGGGGGUCCCGCCGGGGCCGCGGCCCCCGAGCAUCCCUGCCGGGGUGGCCGCAGCCCCCCGGCCGCGGGAACGGGGCGCUGGCCCUUUAAGAGCUGGACAUGAUGGGAGUUGUAGUCCGGGGGAGGGGGCCGCGAGCGCAAGGCCUGCUGGGAAAGAGGUGGGGUGGGAAAGGCGGGCUGGGGCGCUGCAGCCCCCCCGUGCACCCCGGGGCUCCCCCCGGCCCCGGCCGCCCUGUGCCCAAGUGCACCCCGCCAUCCCCGGCCCCACGGCCUGCCCCACGGCAGGGGGCCUGCCCCACGGGCCCUCACCCCCUGCCCCACGGCGGGGUGCCCGUCCCACGGCCCCUCACCCC
rnacentral:lncRNA from 1 species